AUUGAACGCUGGCGGAAUGCUUUACACAUGCAAGUCGAACGGUAGAGGGGGCAACCCCUUGAGAGUGGCGAACGGGUGAGUAAUAUAUCGGAACGUGCCCAGUCGUGGGGAUAACGUAGCGAAAGUUACGCUAAUACCGCAUACGAUCUACGGAUGAAAGCGGGGGACUCGCAAGAGCCUCGCGCGAUUGGAGCGGCCGAUAUCAGAUUAGGUAGUUGGUGGGGUAAAGGCUCACCAAGCCAACGAUCUGUAGCUGGUCUGAGAGGACGACCAGCCACACUGGAACUGAGACACGGUCCAGACUCCUACGGGAGGCAGCAGUGGGGAAUUUUGGACAAUGGGCGCAAGCCUGAUCCAGCAAUGCCGCGUGCAGGAUGAAGGCCUUC
rnacentral:rRNA from 1 species